UGCACACACCGCCCGUCACACCAUGGGAGUGGGCUGCAAAAGAAGUGGGUAGUUUAACCUUCGGGAGAACGCUCACCACUUUGUGGUUCAUGACUGGGGUGAAGUCGUAACAAGGUAGCCCUAGGGGAACCUGGGGCUGGAUCACCUCCUUACCUAUACGACUAACUCAAUACCUAAAGUGCAGAGAUGCAUGUGAGUGUUCACACAGAUUACUUGUUAACUUCUUCGGAAGUAGAGUGAAACACACCGCUUGCCGGUUAAGUGUUGUUCUUUAACAAUUUGGAAAGCUGAUAGUACUAACUAAAGGCGCAUGAAUGACGAUUCGUUGUUAUUGAUGUGAUGAUGUUAGUGCGAAAAACGUUAAUGCGAAAGCAUUAACACUUGAGUUCUCAAAACACUGUUUAAGUGUCUUGAAUAUUCUAAAAAACUAAGGCGAGUCCACUUCCUGGUCGGAGGUGAGACAAGUAAAAACCAGCUGGUCAUGAUAUGACCCAGAUGUUCACGUAAGUGAAACCUAUCUGGGUUGUAUGGUUAAGUGACCAAGCGUAUACGGUGGAUGCCUUGGCAGUCAGAGGCGAUGAAGGACGUAAUAACUUGCGAAAAGCGUUGGCGAGCUAGUAAUAAGCAUUUGAGCUAACGAUAUCCGAAUGGGGAAACCCAGCAGCAUAAGCUGUUAUCACUACAUGAAUACAUAGUGUAGUGAGGCAAACCCGGGGAACUGAAACAUCUAAGUACCCGGAGGAAAAGAAAUCAACCGAGAUUCCCCUAGUAGCGGCGAGCGAACGGGGAUUAGCCCUUAAGUCUAUGGGGUGUUAGUGGAAUGUGUUGGAAAGCACAGCGGCACAGGGUGAUAGCCCCGUACAUGAAAACUAACCAUAGAUGAAAACGAGUAAGGCGGGACACGUGACAUCCUGUUUGAAUAUGGGGGGACCAUCCUCCAAGGCUAAAUACUCCUGACUGACCGAUAGUGAACCAGUACCGUGAGGGAAAGG
rnacentral:sRNA from 1 species